rnacentral:rRNA from 1 species
AGUCGUCGAUCAACGUCCAGGUGGACUACACACGUGCUACAAUGGAUGGUACAAAGGGCAGCAAAACCGCGAGGUCAAGCAAAUCCCAUAAAACCAUUCUCAGUUCGGAUUGUAGUCUGCAACUCGACUACAUGAAGCUGGAAUCGCUAGUAAUCGUAGAUCAGCAUGCUACGGUGAAUACGUUCCCGGGUCUUGUACACACCGCCCGUCACACCACGAGAGUUUGUAACACCCGAAGCCGGUGGAGUAACCUUUAGGAGCUAGCCGUCGAAGGUGACAGAGAUGG